rnacentral:Y_RNA from 1 species
UACUGGUCCAAUGGUAGUGGGUUAUCAGAACUUACUAACAUUAGUGUCACUGAAGUUGGUAUACAACCCCCCACUGCUAAAUUUGGCUUAAA